UUAUGGCCAUAUCACAUUGGAACACCUGUUCCCAUACAACCACCGAAGUUAAGCAACAUUAAGCCUGUUCAGUACCUAUAUGGGUGACCGCUUGGGAAUAUCAGGUGCUGUAA